UUGCUACAGGCUUAACACAUGCAAGUCGAGGGGCAGCAUGGUCUUAGCUUGCUAAGGCCGAUGGCGACCGGCGCACGGGUGAGUAACACGUAUCCAACCUGCCGUCUACUCUUGGACAGCCUUCUGAAAGGAAGAUUAAUACAAGAUGGCAUCAUGAGUCCGCAUGUUCACAUGAUUAAAGGUAUUCCGGUAGACGAUGGGGAUGCGUUCCAUUAGAUAGUAGGCGGGGUAACGGCCCACCUAGUCUUCGAUGGAUAGGGGUUCUGAGAGGAAGGUCCCCCACAUUGGAACUGAGACACGGUCCAAACUCCUACGGGAGGCAGCAGUGAGGAAUAUUGGUCAAUGGGCGAGAGCCUGAACCAGCCAAGUAGCGUGAAGGAUGACUGCCCUAUGGGUUGUAAACUUCUUUUAUAAAGGAAUAAAGUCGGGUAUGGAUACCCGUUUGCAUGUACUUUAUGAAUAAGGAUCGGCUAACUCCGUGCCAGCAGCCGCGGUAAUACGGAGGAUCCGAGCGUUAUCCGGAUUUAUUGGGUUUAAAGGGAGCGUAGAUGGAUGUUUAAGUCAGUUGUGAAAGUUUGCGGCUCAACCGUAAAAUUGCAGUUGAUACUGGAUAUCUUGAGUGCAGUUGAGGCAGGCGGAAUUCGUGGUGUAGCGGUGAAAUGCUUAGAUAUCACGAAGAACUCCGAUUGCGAAGGCAGCCUGCUAAGCUGCAACUGACAUUGAGGCUCGAAAGUGUGGGUAUCAAACAGGAUUAGAUACCCUGGUAGUCCACACGGUAAACGAUGAAUACUCGCUGUUUGCGAUAUACAGCAAGCGGCCAAGCGAAAGCGUUAAGUAUUCCACCUGGGGAGUACGCCGGCAACGGUGAAACUCAAAGGAAUUGACGGGGGCCCGCACAAGCGGAGGAACAUGUGGUUUAAUUCGAUGAUACGCGAGGAACCUUACCCGGGCUUAAAUUGCAGAUGAAUUACGGUGAAAGCCGUAAGCCGCAAGGCAUCUGUGAAGGUGCUGCAUGGUUGUCGUCAGCUCGUGCCGUGAGGUGUCGGCUUAAGUGCCAUAACGAGCGCAACCCUUGUUGUCAGUUACUAACAGGUUCUGCUGAGGACUCUGACAAGACUGCCAUCGUAAGAUGUGAGGAAGGUGGGGAUGACGUCAAAUCAGCACGGCCCUUACGUCCGGGGCUACACACGUGUUACAAUGGGGGGUACAGAGGGCCGCUACCACGCGAGUGGAUGCCAAUCCCCAAAACCUCUCUCAGUUCGGACUGGAGUCUGCAACCCGACUCCACGAAGCUGGAUUCGCUAGUAAUCGCGCAUCAGCCACGGCGCGGUGAAUACGUUCCCGGGCCUUGUACACACCGCCCGUCAAGCCAUGGGAGCCGGGGGUACCUGAAGUGCGUAACCGUGAGGAGCGCCCUAGGGUAAAACUGGUGACUGGGGCUA
rnacentral:rRNA from 1 species